GAUGAACGCUGGCGGCGUGCCUAAUACAUGCAAGUCGAGCGAACGGACGAGAAGCUUGCUUCUCUGAUGUUAGCGGCGGACGGGUGAGUAACACGUGGAUAACCUACCUAUAAGACUGGGAUAACUUCGGGAAACCGUAGCUAAUACCGGAUAAUAUUUUGAACCGCAUGGUUCAAAAGUGAAAGACGGUCUUGCUGUCACUUAUAGAUGGAUCCGCGCUGCAUUAGCUAGUUGGUAAGGUAACGGCUUACCAAGGCAACGAUGCAUAGCCGACCUGAGAGGGUGCUCGGCCACACAAGAACUGAGACCCGGUCCAGACUGCUAGGGGAGGCAGACGCAGGGAAUCUUCCGCCCUGCGCACCAGCCUGACGGAGCAACGCCGCGUGAGUGAUGAAGGUCUUCGGUUCGUAAAACGCUGUUAAUCGGGAAGGACGUAUGGGUCAGUAACUGGGCACCUCUCCACGGUGCCCAAAAAGAACGGCACGGCUAAACUCGAC
rnacentral:rRNA from 1 species